rnacentral:rRNA from 2 species
AUAAUGCAGUCGAGCGCACUGAUUAGAAGCUUGCUUCUAUGACGUUAGCGGCGGACGGGUGAGUAACACGUGGGCAACCUGCCUGUAAGACUGGGAUAACUCCGGGAAACCGGAGCUAAUACCGGAUAACAUUUUUUCUUGCAUAAGAGAAAAUUGAAAGAUGGUUUCGGCUAUCACUUACAGAUGGGCCCGCGGUGCAUUAGCUAGUUGGUGAGGUAACGGCUCACCAAGGCAACGAUGCAUAGCCGACCUGAGAGGGUGAUCGGCCACACUGGGACUGAGACACGGCCCAGACUCCUACGGGAGGCAGCAGUAGGGAAUCUUCCGCAAUGGACGAAAGUCUGACGGAGCAACGCCGCGUGAGUGAUGAAGGCUUUCGGGUCGUAAAACUCUGUUGUUAGGGAAGAACAAGUACAAGAGUAACUGCUUGUACCUUGACGGUACCUAACCAGAAAGCCACGGCUAACUACGUGCCAGCAGCCGCGGUAAUACGUAGGUGGCAAGCGUUAUCCGGAAUUAUUGGGCGUAAAGCGCGCGCAGGCGGUUUCUUAAGUCUGAUGUGAAAGCCCACGGCUCAACCGUGGAGGGUCAUUGGAAACUGGGGAACUUGAGUGCAGAAGAGAAAAGCGGAAUUCCACGUGUAGCGGUGAAAUGCGUAGAGAUGUGGAGGAACACCAGUGGCGAAGCGGCUUUUUGGUCUGUAACUGACGCUGAGCGCGAAGCGGUGGGGAGCAAACAGGAUUAGAUACCCUGGUAGUCCACGCCGUAACGAUGAGUGCUAAGUGUUAGAGGGUUUCCGCCCUUUAGUGCUGCAGCUAACCCAAUAGCACCUCCCGCCUGGGGAGUACGUCGCAGACUGAAAC